UGUCGCGGUAAUACGUAAAAGACGAGUGUUAUUCAUCUUUAAUCGGUUUAAAGGGUACCUAGACGGAAAAUCAAGCUUAAUUAAACUAAGGACUAGUUUUCUAGAGUUUGACAUGAGAAGGUACGAACUAUCAGAGGAGAGAUAAAAUUUGUUGAUACUGGUGGGACGGACAACGGCGAAGGCAAUCUUCUACUAAAAACUGACGUUGAGGGACGAAGCCUUGGGGAGCGAGAAGGAUUAGAUACCCUAGUAGUCCUUGGAGAAAAUUAUGAGUGCCAUAGACUAAAGUGAAAAAGAAGUUCUUUUAAAAGAACUUUGUAUCUGAGCCUUAAUUGGAUACAAAGGUCUCGAGUAGCAGUUUAUAAAUGAAAGUGUAAGCAUUCCACCUCAUGACUAAAGCGGCAACGCCCAAAUUGAAAUCAUUAGACCGUUUCUGAAACCAGUAGUGAAGUAUGUUAUUUAAUUCGAUAACCCGCGAAUAACCUUACCACGUUUUGAAUUUAUUAAACAAGUGUUGCACGGCUGUCUUCAGUUAAUGUCGUGAGAUUUUGGUUUGUUCCAUUAAUUAACGAAAACCCUUGUUUCAUUUUUAUAUGAAAUAGUUCACCGUUAUAUUGGAAAGAUAAAAGGGAUCAAGACAAGUCAUCAUGGCCUUAAUAAC
rnacentral:rRNA from 2 species